GAGUUUGAUCUUGGCUCAGAUUGAACGCUGGCGGCAUGCCUUACACAUGCAAGUCGAGCGGCAGCGCGGGGGCAACCCUGGCGGCGAGCGGCGAACGGGUGAGUAAUACAUCGGAACGUGUCCAGUAGCGGGGGAUAACCUGUCGAAAGAUAGGCUAAUACCGCAUACGACCUACGGGUGAAAGCGGGGGACCGCAAAGGCCUCGCACUAUUGGAGCGGCCGAUGUCGGAUUAGCUAGUUGGCGGGGUAAAAAGCCCACCAAGGCGACGAUCCGUAGCUGGUCUGAGAGGACGAUCAGCCACACUGGAACUGAGACACGGUCCAGACUCCUACGGGAGGCAGCAGUGGGGAAUUUUGGACAAUGGGGGCAACCCUGAUCCAGCCAUGCCGCGUGAGUGAAGAAAGGCCU
rnacentral:rRNA from 1 species